UGGCUCAGAUUGAACGCUGGCGGCAGGCCUAACACAUGCAAGUCGAGCGGUAACAGAAAGUAGCUUGCUACUUUGCUGACGAGCGGCGGACGGGUGAGUAAUGCUUGGGAACAUGCCUUGAGGUGGGGGACAACAGUUGGAAACGACUGCUAAUACCGCAUAAUGUCUACGGACCAAAGGGGGCUUCGGCUCUCGCCUUUAGAUUGGCCCAAGUGGGAUUAGCUAGUUGGUGAGGUAAUGGCUCACCAAGGCGACGAUCCCUAGCUGGUUUGAGAGGAUGAUCAGCCACACUGGGACUGAGACACGGCCCAGACUCCUACGGGAGGCAGCAGUGGGGAAUAUUGCACAAUGGGCGCAAGCCUGAUGCAGCCAUGCCGCGUGUGUGAAGAAGGCCUUCGGGUUGUAAAGCACUUUCAGUCAGGAGGAAAGGUUAACGGUUAAUACCCGUUAGCUGUGACGUUACUGACAGAAGAAGCACCGGCUAACUCCGU
rnacentral:rRNA from 1 species